rnacentral:rRNA from 1 species
CAUGCAGGCGGUCGGGCAAGUAGGAUGUGAAAGCCCCGGGCUCAACCUGGGAACUGCAUUCUAAACUGUCCGACUAGAGUAUUGCAGGGGGAGACGGAAUUCCAGGUGUAGCGGUGGAAUGCGUAGAUAUCUGGAAGAACACCAAAGGCGAAGGCAGUCUCCUGGGCAAAUACGUGACGCUCAUAUGCGAAAGCGUGGGUAGCAAACA